AAUGACCGGGGAAAGUAGCAUAAUCCAUUGUCUUUUAAUUAAAGGCUUGUAUGAAUGGUUGGAUGAGAUAUCAACUAUUUUUAUUUUAACAAAAAUGAAUUUUAAUUUUUAGUAAAAAUGCUAAAAUAAAAAAAUUAGACGAGAAGACCCUAUAAAUCUUUAUUUUUAAAAGAUAAUAUUAAUUUUGUAAAUUAUAAAAUAUUUAUUUUUUAAAAAUUUAAUUGGGAGGAUAAUGAAAUUUAAUAAACUUUUAUUUUGUUUUAUAAAUAUAAUUAAAUUUAUGAAUAUAUUAUAAUGUUUAGAAAAUUAAGUUACUUUAGGGAUAACAGCGUAAUUAUUUUAAAGAGUUCUUAUCGAUAAAAUAGUUUGCGACCUCGAUGUUGAAUUAAGAAUUAAUUAGGCGCAAAAGUUGAAU
rnacentral:rRNA from 1 species